rnacentral:lncRNA from 1 species
CAUGGUUGCUGUGUGUGUGUGUGUGUGUGUGUGUGUGUGUGUUUGCAAAAGCAGUUUAGGCUCUGGAAUUGCAAGCUGUUAAGACCAGGGCUGCUUUGCUAUCUCCUAUCUUUGUUCCUCACCUCAUUUUGAAGGAUUGUUACACAUUUCAAAAGAUAAGAAGUGUGACGGUGGCCGUGACCACCAUAAUUACAGAUGUGGGAAGUUGACUUCCUAAGAUCCCAGACACCAGUGGAGAACAGAGUGGCCUGGAGGCCGAGGCAAUUCCUAGCUAGCUAUCUGAGUCUUGGCCUUCAUUCCAGAGAAUCUGGGAGUCCAGCCAUGUCAGAUGCCAUAAAGGGUCAUGGACUUCUGGCUGCUUGUACUCACAUCCCUGGAUAUCUGAGACUUCCUUCUCAUCUUUUAAAAUGUUCACUGUGAAGCCCUUCUUGAUCCAGCUCAGGUGUGUUGGCUGACCCCUUCUCUAUGUGAAUAAAUUUUAACAGCAACUGUGGCUAUUUAGAUAAAUUCAUUAACUAAUUAAUUCAAAUGUCUCUUUAAACUGGUGCAGCCACUCUGGAAAACUGUGUGGAGGUUCCUCAAAGAGUUAAAAAUAGACCUGCCCUACGACCCAGCAAUUGCACUGUUGGGGAUUU